GAUGAACGCUGGCGGCGUGCCUAAUACAUGCAAGUCGAGCGAACGGACGAGAAGCUUGCUUCUCUGAUGUUAGCGGCGGACGGGUGAGUAACACGUGGAUAACCUACCUAUAAGACUGGGAUAACUUCGGGAAACCGGAGCUAAUACCGGAUAAUAUUUUGAACCGCAUGGUUCAAAAGUGAAAGACGGUCUUGCUGUCACUUAUAGAUGGAUCCGCGCUGCAUUAGCUAGUUGGUAAGGUAACGGCUUACCAAGGCAACGAUGCAUAGCCGACCUGAGAGGGUGAUCGGCCACACUGGAACUGAGACACGGUCCAGACUUCUACGGGAGGCAGCAGUAGGGAAUCUUCCGCAAUGGGCGAAAGCCUGACGGAGCAACGCCGCGUGAGUGAUGAAGGUCUUCGGAUCGUAAAACUCUGUUAUUAGGGAAGAACAUAUGUGUAAGUAACUGUGCACAUCUUGACGGUACCUAAUCAGAAAGCCACGGCUAACUACGUGCCAGCAGCCGCGGUAAUACGUAGGUGGCAAGCGUUAUCCGGAAUUAUUGGGCGUAAAGCGCGCGUAGGCGGUUUUUUAAGUCUGAUGUGAAAGCCCACGGCUCAACCGUGGAGGGUCAUUGGAAACUGGAAAACUUGAGUGCAGAAGAGGAAAGUGGAAUUCCGUGUGUAGCGGUGAAAUGCGCAGAGAUAUGGAGGAACACCAGUGGCGAAGGCGACUUUCUGGUCUGUAACUGACGCUGAUGUGCGAAAGCGUGGGGAUCAAACAGGAUUAGAUACCCUGGUAGUCCACGCCGUAAACGAUGAGUGCUAAGUGUUAGGGGGUUUCCGCCCCUUAGUGCUGCAGCUAACGCAUUAAGCACUCCGCCUGGGGAGUACGACCGCAAGGUUGAAACUCAAAGGAAUUGACGGGGACCCGCACAAGCGGUGGAGCAUGUGGUUUAAUUCGAAGCAACGCGAAGAACCUUACCAAAUCUUGACAUCCUUUGACAACUCUAGAGAUAGAGCCUUCCCCUUCGGGGGACAAAGUGACAGGUGGUGCAUGGUUGUCGUCAGCUCGUGUCGUGAGAUGUUGGGUUAAGUCCCGCAACGAGCGCAACCCUUAAGCUUAGUUGCCAUCAUUAAGUUGGGCACUCUAAGUUGACUGCCGGUGACAAACCGGAGGAAGGUGGGGAUGACGUCAAAUCAUCAUGCCCCUUAUGAUUUGGGCUACACACGUGCUACAAUGGACAAUACAAAGGGCAGCGAAACCGCGAGGUCAAGCAAAUCCCAUAAAGUUGUCCUCAGUUCGGAUUGUAGUCUGCAACUCGACUACAUGAAGCUGGAAUCGCUAGUAAUCGUAGAUCAGCAUGCUACGGUGAAUACGUUCCCGGGUCU
rnacentral:rRNA from 1 species